rnacentral:rRNA from 1 species
UACGUAGGGUGCGAGCGUUGUCCGGAAUUAUUGGGCGUAAAGAGCUCGUAGGCGGUCUGUCGCGUCGGUCGUGAAAACUUGGGGCUUAACCCUGAGCUUGCGGUCGAUACGGGCAUGACUGGAGUUCGGCAGGGGAGACUGGAAUUCCUGGUGUAGCGGUGAAAUGCGCAGAUAUCAGGAGGAACACCGGUGGCGAAGGCGGCUUCCUGGACCGACACUGACGCUGAGGCGCGAAGCUAGGGAGCAACGGG